rnacentral:rRNA from 1 species
GAUGAACGCUGGCGGCGUGCCUAAUACAUGCAAGUCGAGCGAACGGACGAGAAUCUUGCUUCUCUGAUGUUAGCGGCGGACGUGUGAGUAACACGUGGAUAACCUACCUAUAAGACUGGUAUAACUUCGGGAAACCGGAGCUAAUACCGUAUAAUAUUUUGAACCGCAUGGUUCAAAAGUGAAUUACGGUCUUGCUGUCUCUUAUAGAUGGUUCCGCGCUUCAUUAGCUAGUUGUUAAGGUAACGGCUUACCAAGGCAACGAUGCAUGACCGACCUGAGAGAGUGAUCGGCCACACUGGAACUGAGACACGGUCCAGACUCCUACGGGAGGCAGCAGUAGGGAAUCUUACGCAAUGGGCGAAAGCCUGACGGAGCAACGCCGCGUGAGUGAUGAAGGCCUUCGGAUCGUAAAACUCUGUUAUUAGGGAAGAACAUAUGUGUAAGUAACUGUGCACAUAUUGACGGUACCUAAUCAGAAAGCAACGGCUAACUACGUG